rnacentral:rRNA from 1 species
CCAUCUCAGUUCGGAUUGCAGGCUGCAACUCGCCUGCAUGAAGCUGGAAUUGCUAGUAAUCGCGGAUCAGCAAGCCGCGGUGAAUACGUUCCCGGGCCUUGUACACACCGCCCGUCACACCAUGAGAGUCGGGAACACCCGAAGUCCGUAGUCUAACCGCAAGGGGGGCGCGGCCGAAGGUGGGUCCGGUAAUUGGGGGUNAAGUCGUAACAAGGUAAC